UGGGGAAUAUUGGACAAUGGGCGCAAGCCUGAUCCAGCAAUUCCGCGUGAGCGAAGAAGGCCUUCGGGUUGUAAAGCUCUUUCGGCGGGGACGAUAAUGACGGUACCCGCAGAAGAAGCCCCGGCUAACUCCGUGCCAGCAGCCGCGGUAAUACGGAGGGGGCUAGCGUUGUUCGGAAUCACUGGGCGUAAAGCGCACGUAGGCGGCUACUCCAGUCAGAGGUGAAAGCCCGGGGCUCAACUCCGGAAUUGCCUUUGAAACUAGGUAGCUUGAACGUCGGAGAGGUAAGUGGAAUUCCGAGUGUAGAGGUGAAAUUCGUAGAUAUUCGGAAGAACACCAGUGGCGAAGGCGACUUACUGGACGACUGUUGACGCUGAGGUGCGAAAGCGUGGGGAGCAAACAGG
rnacentral:rRNA from 1 species